UUAAAUCAGAACACCCUACAAGCAGUUACUAGGGAAACUGUACGCACAGCCGGUGUCUAUGGAAACUGAACUUGUCAUCGGAACUAUUCCAAGAGACACACCAUAGAUAUGAGGGAAGUACAGCUAAGAGCAAGCAAGGAAAAAGGAAGAACACAGAAUCUGGGUAUCAGCUAAAGCAGCAAGAGACACGACAUGAACAAGAAGAGAAUGGGGUUUUCAGCUAAAUAAUCAAUUUUGUGAAAAAAAGAACAGAGACUCCCAUGAUGCACCACAGCAGCUCAGCAAGAGGAGAGACCAAGGUGCAUAAUGGGAGAUGUAGUCUGGCCAGGGAAUCCAGGCCGGAAAGGAGAAUGGGAAGAUGAGGCACCUUAACUAUAACUUCUGUGAGGCACCACAGCAGCCGUUCCAAAUCAAAAUUUUCCAUUUUCAGACAAAAGUUUCCAGUUUUGAUUUUUCAUCAACCUCCCCCCUCCCUGAAGAAAUGUUCCAUGGAUUUUUUUUCUCCCCAGCUCUAGAGCUGAGCUCUUUGGAAAAUCUUACCCCUUUGGGCCCUACUUCUGGAAGGGAGCACCAGGCAGCCCUGUUGACCUCUCGGGGACUCUACACAUGCAGGGCUCCUCACACAAGGUUUACUUUGCAGGAUCAGGUGUUUCUCAAAGUACCUACGAGGCCGCUGUCCUUGCUGAUUAAGGGCACUACCAACAUACAUUUAGAUCACAUACAUGUAAGAAGCAUACAUGCGAGUGAAAGAUUAUCCAUACAGAUGUCUGUGGAAAGCAAAUUUGGGGUCAGUGGCGAUCCAGCCGAAACACGAUGACCUUUAUUCAGGCAACAACAUAACUGGACUAUUGUCUGGUAUCCCUGGGCUACUUCCCACACUCCCCUCAUGUUGUAUCUGUAUCUCAGGUCAUCCUCCGUCUCCCCGGGCUACACCCCUAGUGGCAAUCCCAGCAGCUCCUCGUGUCCAGGUUGACUGGCAGCUUUGGCGAGUCAUCAGAGCUGCAGAGGUCCUCCUCCUGCUCCAGCAGUGGGUGAGAAAUGUCUGUCUCGUCCAGUGGCUCCAGCCCAACUGAGCUACAGGGUGGGGCCCACCUUUCAUACUCCCUGUCCCACCCUCCUGCUUCCAGCAGGGCAGGUGUGGAUGUCCUGGCUCCACUCACAAGGGGGUGGGCAGUGGUUCCUCCCCAUCAGUCUCUAAGGGAGUCCAUGCCCCCUCACUAAAGUCAC